CGGCCUGAGGUCGGACGAGGCUACCCGCUGAAUUUAAGCAUAUUACUAAGCGGAGGAAAAGAAACUAACGAGGAUUCCCUCAGUAACGGCGAGUGAAGCGGGACGAGCCCAGCGCCGAAUCCGGCCGCUUAUGGAGCGGACGGAAUUGUGGCGUAUGGAAUUCGCUUCGAGCGCGGACCGGCUGCCCACGUCCUUCUGAUCGAGCUCAUCCCAUAGCGGGUGUCAGGCCCUUGGCGGCGGCUGGCCGGGGCUCUCG
rnacentral:ncRNA from 1 species